CAUAAAGUGAAAUAUAUAAUUUCCAAUAUGAAUGGAUUCAUUUUUGCCCUAUCUAAAGGCUUUCGUUUUCUUCGUAAUAUUGGAACAUGCUGCAUUCCUAAGAAAGUAAGUUUAACAACCAUUUUUAAUAAAAUUUGUUUUGGUUUUGUUGGGUUAAUUUAAUAAGAAAUAUUAGUUUAAUUUAAUUACGAUACAUUAUUUUCAGGGUAAACACAUGUUCUAUUCUGUUAAUGAAUCGGUGAAUCUUCUUAUUCCAGCGAAUUUAUGGCUCCAGAAAUUCUUACAGAAACUCCGUUUAUGCUUGGUGUGGAUUGGUGGGUCUCAGGACAAAUUAUACUUUUUAUUGUUUUAUUAUUUUUGUGGACAUGCAAUAGAUAUAUUAUAUAUUGAAUAGGAGAUGAACCAUCGAGUUGUGCUUUUCCACCUUGUGUAUGUGAAGUCUUUUAAUUAAGAUAAGUCCUUCAUCGUUUAACAAAUAUGCAUCAUCAAGCAGUGUCAAUUGUGGUGUCUCAUCAAGUACAUUUAUCAUCAAAGUUACUAACUUCUUCUAGUGAAAUCUAAUUUUUUUAUUUUUUUCAGAUUACUUUAAUUCAUUGUGUGGAACUAAUAUCAGAUUUCAAAACAGAUAUAUUUAAGAUGCUUACAACAGUUGGUAAAAAUGGUGCGUGGAUUAUUUUUUCUAACAAAUCGUCACAAACAAUUUAAUUUGGAUAAUGUAUUUUAUCGUUUAUUACGAAGUCAAAUCCUUUUGUUCUAUUCCAUUCUGUAAAAGGCCACUUUAUGUGAUAAAAUUUAUAUUAAUUACGGUGUUAUGUUAUACAUUAGUAUUCAAAAUAUAUUUACCUCUUCGACAAGCACAUAUAUAAGUACUCCUAAGGCCAACCAUUCCACACUAUGUGUGUCAUUUAUACGAAGAGUCAGUAAGAAUUACUGGAGCUAUAAAUUCGGUGGUUCCGCAAAACGUUCGGGUCUGAUCGCCAAAUCCCAUAUCUAUUUCGCACAAGCCG